GACGAACGCUGGCGGCGUGCUUAACACAUGCAAGUCGAACGGAAAGGCCUUGCUUUUGUGGGGUGCUCGAGUGGCGAACGGGUGGGUAACACGUGAGUACCCUGCCCUUGACUUUGGGAUAACUUCCGGAAACUGGGGCUAAUACCGGCUAGGUGCUCCUGCUGCAUGGUGGGGGGUGGAAAGUUUCGGCGGUUGGGGAUGGACUCCCGGCUUAUUAGCUUGUUGGUGGGGUAGUGGCCUACCAAGGCGUCGACGGGUAGCCGGUCUGAGAGGGUGAUAGGCCACACUGGAAGUGAGACACGGUCAAGACUACUACGGGAGGCACCAGUGGGGAAUGUUAGGCAAUGGGCGGAAGCCUGACACAGCCAUACCGAGUGGGUGAAGAAGGCCUUCGGGUCGUAAAGACCUUUUGUUGGGAAAGAACAGCAGCCGCUUAAUACGAAGCUGUUCUGACGGUACCGAAAGAAUAAGCACCGGCUAACUACGUG
rnacentral:rRNA from 1 species